GUUGACCUCGGAUCAGGUAGGACUACCCGCUGAACUUAAGCAUAUCAAUAAGCGGAGGAAAAGAAACCAACAGGGAUUGCCCCAGUACGGCGAGUGAAGCGGCAACAGCUCAGAUUUGGAAUUUGGCCCCAGGGCCCGAGUUGUAAUCUGAGAGGAUGCUUCUGGCGCGGCGCCUUCCGAGUUCCCUGGAACGGGACGCCGGAGAGGGUGAGAGCCCCGUACGGUUGGACGCCUAGCCUUUGUGAAGCUCCUUCGACGAGUCGAGUAGUUUGGGAAUGCUGCUCAAAAUGGGAGGUAAAUUUCUUCUAAAGCUAAAUACCGGCCAGAGACCGAUAGCGCACAAGUAGAGUGAUCGAAAGAUGAAAAGCACUUUGAAAAGAUGGUCAAACAGUACGUGAAAUUGUUGAAAGGGAAG
rnacentral:rRNA from 1 species